UACGUAGGGGGCAAGCGUUGUCCGGAUUUAUUGGGCGUAAAGAGCGUGUAGGCGGCCAGGUAGGUCGGUUGUGAAAACUCGAGGCUCAACCUCGAGAUGUCGACCGAAACCAUCUGGCUAGAGUCCUGGAGAGGGUCGUGGAAUUCCCGGUGUAGCGGUGAAAUGCGUAGAGAUCGGGAGGAACACCAGAGGCGAAGGCGGGUCUCUGGGCCGAGUACUGACGCUGAGGAGCGAAAGCGUGGGGAGCGAACAGG
rnacentral:rRNA from 1 species